GAUUAACGCUGGCGGCAUGCCUAAUACAUGCAAGUCGAACGGAAGCAGCAAUGCUUUAGUGGCGAACGGGUGAGUAACACGUAGGGAACCUACCUAUACGACGAGGAUAACUACUGGAAACGGUAGCUAAAACUGGAUAGGAUCAAUUGAGGCAUCUUGAUUGAUUUAAAGAUCCUUCGGGAUUACGUAGAGAUGGCCCUGCGGCGCAUUAGCUAGUUGGUGAGGUAACGGCCACCAAGGCGACGAUGCGUAGCUGAGCUGAGAGGCUAAACAGCCACACUGGGACUGAGACACGGCCCAGACUCCUACGGGAGGCAGCAGUAGGGAAUUUUCGGCAAUGGGGGAAACCCUGACCGAGCAAUGCCGCGUGAACGAUGAAGGUCUUCGGAUUGUAAAGUUCUGUGAUUGGGGAAGAAUGGUAUUCUUAGGGAAUGAGGAGUACAUGACGGUACCCGAUUAGAAAGCCCCGGCUAACUAUGUGCCAGCAGCCGCGGU
rnacentral:rRNA from 1 species